GGCACGCGUUUGUUCAAACUCCCAAGAAAUGCUAAAGAAAAAGAAGAAGACGACAUUUGUCACAUUGCUCUCUAUUACUCUCCAUAUUACACACUGAUCACGAGAGCUGAAACCCUCUGCGUAAGACAGAGAUUUUGAUUUCACAUGUGAUUGGAUCCUUCUACUUGAGCAGAAAGAUUGAUUCUCACAUUUCCUCUUGGUCUCUUCCUAGGUUUUUUCCAUCGUUCCUUCAAUAUAUAUAUAUUAAGCUCAAUCAUUCAAGUGUCAUUAUCCAAAAUAUACUAUAUGUGUUCUAAAUAUAUUCAAUUGGGAUUGAGACGUUGACUCUCUUUCGUAAGUAGGAUUGUAUUCAUCAAUUCAGGUAGUCUACUCAAUUUAUGAGAAGUUAAUUUCAUGUUUUAGCCCCACAGGUUUUCCCUUAAAGUUAUGAUUAAUAAUUAUUUUA
rnacentral:lncRNA from 1 species